UUUCAUGAUCGCAUCCACUGUCGUAGGUGCAGAAUUCGAGUUGCACUUGUCUCGGAUUACGUUCAACCCGUGGGGCCAGGAAGGAUCUUUAAUAGAGUGUUUAAUGUUGAUGUAUCAGACGACGUGAAUGAUCAUCUCCAACAAGAUGUAAAUACCCUAGCAAAUACUUACUGUGUCC